rnacentral:rRNA from 1 species
UACGUAGGGAGCAAGCGUUGUCCGGAAUCAUUGGGCGUAAAGCGCGCGUAGGUGGCCUCAUAAGUCCGCUGUGAAAGUCCAAGGCUCAACCUUGGAAAGCCGGUGGAUACUGUGAGGCUAGAGUACGGAAGAGGCGAGUGGAAUUCCUGGUGUAGCGGUGGAAUGCGCAGAUAUCAGGAGGAACACCAAUAGCGAAGGCAGCUCGCUGGGACGUUACUGACACUGAGGCACGAAAGCGUGGGGAUCAAACAGG